GACAGCGUGGCCGAGCGGUCUAAGGCGCUGGUUUUAGGCACCAGUCCGUAAGGGCGUGGGUUCGAAUCCCACCGCUGUCA
rnacentral:tRNA from 1 species